GAUGUGAUGCAAGCUUGUUUGCUGCUGCUCCAGACACUAGGACAUGGAUCAGUGGAUUCCAACUACAAGUAAAAAGAUUUCACUUCAACAUUAAGAAGAACUUCCUGAUGGUUCUCACAGAACUUAGAAAAGAUGAAUGCUUGAAUCCAUCAAAUUUCAUCUCAUGAAGAUGAUAUUCUGCUUCCACUGUUCUUAUGAUUUCCAUUUUGAUGCCAGAAUGUGGUGGUCAGUGCUUUUUCAACAUGCAGGGUUGCUGGUAAG